AAUACAAUUUAGAACAACCUUC
rnacentral:miRNA from 1 species